GCACAAGCGGUGGAGUAUGUGGUUUAAUUCGACGCAACGCGCAGAACUUACCUGGUCUUGACAUCCCGGGAAUUUCCUUGGAAAAGAGGGGAAGUGCCUCGCAAGAGGAGCUUGGAGACAGGUGCUGCAUGGCUGUCGUCAGCUCGUGUCGUGAGAUGUUGGGUUAAGUCCCGCAACGAGCGCAACCCUUGCCUUUAGUUGCCAUCAUUUAGUUGGGCACUCUAAAGAGACUGCCGGUGUCAAACCGGAGGAAAGGUGGGGAUGACGUCAAGUCCUCAUGGCCUUUAUGACCAGGGCUACACACGUACUACAAUGGCCGGUACAAAGGGCAGCCACUUAGCGAUAAGGAGCCAAUCCCGUAAAGCCGGUCUCAGUCCGGAUUGGAGUCUGCAACUCGACUCCAUGAAGUUGGAAUCGCUAGUAAUCGCAGAUCAGCACGCUGCGGUCGAAUACGUUCCGGGCCUU
rnacentral:rRNA from 1 species